UGUGUAGGUGGCAUUGUUAGUCUCGCGUUAAAUUCUCCGGCUCAACCGGAGAGCUGCGUGGGAAACGGCAAAGCUAGAGGACGGUAGAGGUCUCUGGAACUCAUGGUGUAGCGGUGAAAUGCGUUGAUAUCAUGGGGAACACCAAAAAGCGAAGGCAAGAGACUGGACCGCUCCUGACACUGAAACACGAAAGCGUGGGUCGCGAAUGGGAUUAGAUACCCCAGUAGUCCACGCCCUAAACGAUGAUCUUUAGAUUUGGGGAGUAUCGACCCUCUCCGAGUCGUAGCAAACGCGUUAAAAGAUCCGUCUGGGUAGUACGGCCGCAAGGUUGAA
rnacentral:rRNA from 1 species